AUUGAACGCUGGCGGCAGGCUUAACACAUGCAAGUCGAGCGAGCGGCGGACGGGUGAGUAAUGUCUGGGAAACUGCCUGAUGGAGGGGGAUAACUACUGGAAACGGUAGCUAAUACCGCAUACCAUCAGAUGUGCCCAGAUGGGAUUAGCUAGUAGGUGGGGUAAUGGCUCACCUAGGCGACGAUCCCUAGCUGGUCUGAGAGGAUGACCAGCCACACUGGCACUGAGACACGGUCCAGACUCCGACGGGAGGGAGCAGUGGGGAAUUUUGGACAAUGGGCGCAAGCGUGAUGCAGCCAUGCCGCGUGUGUGAAGAAGGCCUUGGGGUUGUAAAGCACUUUCAGCGAGGAGGCGUUACUCGCAGAAGAAGCACCGGCUAACUCCGUGCCAGCAGCCGCGGUAAUUC
rnacentral:rRNA from 1 species